rnacentral:rRNA from 1 species
AUACGGAGGAUGCGAGCGUUAUCCGGAUUUAUUGGGUUUAAAGGGAGCGUAGGUGGGAUAUUAAGUCAGCUGUGAAAGUUUGGGGCUCCACCUUAAAAUUGCAGUUGAUACUGGUUUCCUUGAGUACGGUACAGGUGGGCGGAAUUCGUGGGGUAGCGGUGAAAUGCUUAGAUAUUACGAAGAACUCCGAUCGCGAAGGCAGCUCACCGGGCCGGAACUGACACUGAUGCUCGAAAGUGCGGGUAUCAAACAGGAUUAGAUAACCUGGUAGUCCGCACAGUAAACGAUGAAUACUCGCUGUUUGCGAUACACGGUAAGCGGCCAAGCGAAAGCGUUAAGUAUUCCACCUGGGGAGUACGCCGGCAACGGUGAAACUCAAAGGAAUUGACGGGG